rnacentral:rRNA from 1 species
AUUGAACGCUGGCGGCCGGCUUAACACAUGCAAGUCGAGCGAGCGGCGGACGGGUGAGUAAUGUCUGGGAAACUGCCUGAUGGAGGGGGAUAACUACUGGAAACGGUAGCUACUACCGCAUACCAUCAGAUGUGCCCAGAUGGGCUUGGCUAGUAGGUGGGGUAAUGGCUAACCUAGGCGGCGAUCCCUAGCUGGUCUGAGAGGAUGACAAGCGACACUGGAAAUUAGACACGGUCCAUACUCCGACGGGAGGCAGCAGUGGGGAAUAUUGCACAAUGGGCGCAAGCCUGAUACAGCCAUGCCGCGUGUGUGAAGAAGGCCUUCGGGUUGUAAAGCACUUUCAGCGAGGAGGCGUUACUCGCAGAAGAAGCACCGGCUAACUACGUGCCAGCAGCCGCGGUAAUUC